rnacentral:tRNA from 1 species
GGCGGCAUAGCUCAGUUGGUUAGAGCGAGGGAUUCAUAACCCCUAGGUCAGUGGUUCGAGUCCACUUGCCGCCA